UACGUAGGGUGCGAGCGUUGUCCGGAAUUACUGGGCGUAAAGAGCUCGUAGGUGGUUUGUCGCGUUGUUCGUGAAAACUCACAACUCAAUUGUGGGCGUGCGGGCGAUACGGGCAGACUAGAGUACUGCAGGGGAGACUGGAAUUCCUGGUGUAGCGGUGGAAUGCGCAGAUAUCAGGAGGAACACCGGUGGCGAAGGCGGCUCACUGGCUCAUUACUGACGCUCAGGCGCGACAGCGUGGGGAUCAAACAGG
rnacentral:rRNA from 1 species